CGUCUGGACAGCGACAUACGUAUCUCUAGUCGGAGGAGAAAGCUCAAAUUUGAAAUCUGGUACCUUCGGUGCCCGAGUUGUAAUUUGGAGAGGGCAACUUUGGGGCCGUUCCUUGUCUAUGUUCCUUGGAACAGGACGUCAUAGAGGGUGAGAAUCCCGUGUGGCGAGGAGUGCGGUUCUUUGUAAAGUGCCUUCGAAGAGUCGAGUUGUUUGGGAAUGCAGCUCUAAGUGGGUGGUAAAUUCCAUCUAAAGCUAAAUAUUGGCGAGAGACCGAUAGCGAACAAGUACAGUGAUGGAAAGAUGAAAAGAACUUUGAAAAGAGAGUGAAAAAGUACGUGAAAUUGUUGAAAGGGAAGGGCAUUUGAUCAGACAUGGUGUUUUGUGCCCUCUGCUCCUUGUGGGUAGGGGAAUCUCGCAUUUCACUGGGCCAGCAUCAGUUUUGGUGGCAGGAUAAAUCCAUAGGAAUGUAGCUUGCCUCGGUAAGUAUUAUAGCCUGUGGGAAUACUGCCAGCUGGGACUGAGGACUGCGACGUAAGUCAAGGAUGCUGGCAUAAUGGUUAUAUGCCGCCCGUCUUGAAACACGGACCAAAAGAUGCA
rnacentral:rRNA from 1 species